UACGGAGGGGGCGAGCGUUAUUCGGAAUCAUUGGGCGUAAAGGGCGCGUAGGCGGCCCCGUAAGUCUUGGGUGAAAGCCCUCGGCUCAACCGAGGAAUUGCCUUGGAUACUGCGGGGCUCGAGGCUGGAAGAGGGCAGUGGAAUUCCCGGUGUAGCGGUGAAAUGCGUAGAUAUCAGGAGGAACACCAAUUGCGAAGGCAGCUCGCUGGGACGUAACUGACGCUGAGACGCGAAAGCGUGGGGAGCAAACAGG
rnacentral:rRNA from 1 species